CCCCAUCACCCAGGCAUGAAAACCACCGCAAAAGAAGAUAUAUUACACUAUCGCUACUGAAAACCACAACGGGUGAAAAUACCCUAAGCUGCUACAUCGUGAUGCUAAAGAUGACGCCACCGCCCUCAGAUCUCCAAACACAAGGAUGACGCCAUCGUUCACUUCGUUUGUGUGUGUUUGCAUUUCAGUGCGGCAAACGGGGUAUGCGUUCAACAAAUUGGCAGGGUCAAGUCCACAUCGUACUGUUGCUGGUCGACGAUGUGAUGUUAACCGCGCCGGUGAUGGCGUCGCCUCCAUGUGGUUCGUGGAUAGAGAGAGAGGUUAGAGAGAAAUAAGAGGAUGAGGGUGAGGGU
rnacentral:lncRNA from 1 species